rnacentral:rRNA from 1 species
UGGCUCAGAUUGAACGCUGGCGGCAGGCUUAACACAUUCAAGUCGAACGGUAACAGGAAGCAGCUUGCUGCUUUGCUGACGAGUGGCGGACGGGUGAGUAAUGUCUGGGAAACUGCCUGAUGGAGGGGGAUAACUACUGGAAACGGUGGCUAAUACCGCAUAACGUCGCAAGACCAAAGAGGGGGACCUUCGGGCCUCUUGCCAUCAGAUGUGCCCAGAUGGGAUUAGCUUGUUGGUGAGGUAACGGCUCACCAAGGCGACGAUCCCUAGCUGGUCUGAGAGGAUGACCAGCCACACUGGAACUGAGACACGGUCCAGACUCCUACGGGAGGCAGCAGUGGGGAAUAUUGCACAAUGGGCGCAAGCCUGAUGCAGCCAUGCCGCGUGUAUGAAGAAGGCCUUCGGGUUGUAAAGUACUUUCAGCGGGGAGGAAGGUGUUGCGGUUAAUAACCGCAGCAAUUGACGUUACCCGCAGAAGAAGCACCGGCUAACUCCGUGCCAGCAGCCGCGGUAAUACGGAGGGUGCAAGCGUUAAUCGGAAUUACUGGGCGUAAAGCGCACGCAGGCGGUCUGUCAAGUCGGAUGUGAAAUCCCCGGGCUCAACCUGGGAACUGCAUUCGAAACUGGCAGGCUUGAGUCUUGUAGAGGGGGGUAGAAUUCCAGGUGUAGCGGUGAAAUGCGUAGAGAUCUGGAGGAAUACCGGUGGCGAAGGCGGCCCCCUGGACAAAGACUGACGCUCAGGUGCGAAAGCGUGGGGAGCAAACAGGAUUAGAUACCCUGGUAGUCCACGCCGUAAACGAUGUCUACUUGGAGGUUGUGCCCUUGAGGCGUGGCUUCCGGAGCUAACGCGUUAAGUAGACCGCCUGGGGAGUACGGCCGCAAGGUUAAAACUCAAAUGAAUUGACGGGGGCCCGCACAAGCGGUGGAGCAUGUGGUUUAAUUCGAUGCAACGCGAAGAACCUUACCUGGUCUUGACAUCCACAGAAGAAUCCAGAGAUGGAUUUGUGCCUUCGGGAACUGUGAGACAGGUGCUGCAUGGCUGUCGUCAGCUCGUGUUGUGAAAUGUUGGGUUAGGUCCCGCAACGAGCGCAACCCUUAUCCUUUGUUGCCAGCGAUUAGGUCGGGAACUCAAAGGAGACUGCCAGUGAUAAACUGGAGGAAGGUGGGGAUGACGUCAAGUCAUCAUGGCCCUUACGACCAGGGCUACACACGUGCUACAAUGGCGCAUACAAAGAGAAGCGACCUCGCGAGAGCAAGCGGACCUCAUAAAGUGCGUCGUAGUCCGGAUUGGAGUCUGCAACUCGACUCCAUGAAGUCGGAAUCGCUAGUAAUCGUGGAUCAGAAUGCCACGGUGAAUACGUUCCCGGGCCUUGUACACACCGCCCGUCACACCAUGGGAGUGGGUUGCAAAAGAAGUAGGUAGCUUAACCUUCGGGAGGGCGCUUACCACUUUGUGAUUCAUGACUGGGGUGAAGUCGUAACAAGG